GAGAGCCGGAUGCGGUAGAAGUCGCAAGUCUGGUUCGGAGGGCGGACCAGAGAAACCCACCGACGGAAACGUUGGCAGGGCGCUCUGGUUCGACCCUAC
rfam:Acidithrix ferrooxidans strain Py-F3 AXFE_contig000062, whole genome shotgun sequence.